AGUGAACGCUGGCGGCAGGCCUAACACAUGCAAGUCGAACGGCCGCACAGUAAGCGUUUGCUUUUACGGGUGGCGGGUGGCGGACGGGUGACGAAUAGAUCGGCUUCUUCUUUUUCGUGGGGGACAUCGUAGGGAAACAUCUGCUACUACCUCAUAUGAUCUACGGGUUGAUGCAGGAGUUCAUCACGCUCUGGCUGACACUAUGAGCCGUUGUCGGAUUAGCUAGUUGGCAGGGUAAGGCCCCACCAAGGCAACGAUACGUAGCUGGUCUGAGAGGAUGAUCGGCCACACUGGAACUGGGACACGGUCCAGACUCCUACGGGAGGCAGCAGUGGGGAAUAUUGGGCAAUGGGCGCAAGCCUGACCCAGCAACGCCGCGUGAGUGAUGAAGGCCUUCGGGUCGUAAAGCCCUGUUAUUAGGAAAGAAAAGCUGCGGAAGUAUACGCCGCCAUCCUGACGGUACCCAAAGAGAAAGCAACGGCUAACUACGUG
rnacentral:rRNA from 1 species